CAUAAGUAACACGACAACGGGGAAGCAAACCAAGAAAAAAAAGGAUACAAAAUACAAAACCACCCCGUAAAACCCUAAAUGGAAACCCGAAAAAGCGGGCACGCGUCAGUUGGCAACGAUCCCUAACAAUCCGGUGGAAAAACAUAAACGAGUUGAGCGCACUAGACAAAUCCCAUAAGCAAAUUCGGUUCACGAAGUUACCCCCCGUCGCAGUGCGGAGACCCCGAGACUUCAGGCCCCGGAUCCCAAUCCGUAUCCGCAUCCGCAUCCGAAUCCGAAUCCGAGCAGGACGAGGACUACGAAUCUGAAGGACUACCGCACUGGAGUGCAACCCUGUUACUUUCCAAAACACCGAGCGCACACUUUCAAAAUUCCCAGUGCGAAGGGGGUUUGCUCCGUCGAUGUGGAAAUGGAUGUGGAUGAGCAUUUUUGACAUGGCAGACGAUGUCGACGAGUGCCAUCAAUCGUUUAGACCACGACGCCGGGCGUUGGCGAUGGCGAUAGCGACAAAUCUGAUAUGAGAUUGGGAGUCGGAUGAGGAUGCGGAUGUGGAUGAGGAUGAGGAUGCGGAUGCGGACUCAGAUGCGUCCCCGGUCGAGGAUUAUGUGCGUGUAAAGCGCACACCCACAAAAAUGCCACCCCUUCCGCCAGCUACCCAGCUACCAAGUCCCGAGGGACACUCAAAGCAGCCGGAAGUGGUUAUGCUAAAUAAGAAAUGUAAAUU